GGACAAUACAGUCAAAGGUGGAUGGCAAGCAUUCCGAUGAGGCAGCCUUGAUCCUCCACAGGAAGGGGUUUGACUGCCGCUUCUCGAGCAGAGACACGGGGCUGCUUUGUUCCACAACCCAGGGAAAGAUUUUGGUACAGAAGCUUUUUAGCAUGUUUACUGUCGCAAGUCUCAUACCUUCAUCAUUAUCCUUGAUGCAUUCACCUCCAGACGCCCGAAAUAUAAGUGAGAUCAACUUGAGUCCCAUGGAAAUCAGCACAUUCCGAAUCCAGUUGAGAUGAACCUGGCUUUCAAAUUUGGAUUGGGAAGCAUUGUCUUUUAUACACUUCUUGGUUUGACGUGCAAUAAGGAAGCACAUUAUUUUAGCUUCUGGCUACUGUGAGGACAUGAAUUCUGUGAUUGUUAGUAUAAUUAUUAUUAUUAUUUUUUUUUUUUUUACUAGUACAGAAAGAAAAAAAAAAAAAGCCAUGAUAUAGCCAGUUUUUCUUUAAGUUCCAUCCAUGAAUCACCACCAUCAGUAUGAAUCGAUGCAACAAUGAAGGAAGAAAUGUCUAAAACAACCUCUCCACAGAUUGUAUCUCAGGUUAAAUGCUAACUAACUAUAUCUGUGUCGGGAGUUGUGAAGAGAUUGUUAUAAGUAUUCAUGUUGCUGAUCCUUCAUUAGUUUUACAAAAAUACCCAUUUUUACCAAAAUGGAAUAAAAAGCUGAAGGGUAAUAGCUAAUGGCCAAAAUGCUUGCAAUUGUUCAUACGCAUUCGAAAAAUUGUGUGUAUUGAAAUAUGUGGAAAAGUGCAAUCCAUCAACCCUUAUGAUAUCUGUACAUCAUUGAUCUUCACACCUUUUUCUAAUGUACCACUUGACCCCUCCCUUCUCACUCUUUGUAUUUCCAGAAAUAGCAGAUUUUGAAUCAUUCAAUAGUAGAAAAAGAGGCAUAUUUCCAUUACUUGACAAUGUGGGAUAGGUGCAAUUUAUUCCAUUGUCACUAAGGUAGAAAAAGCAAUCCCAUAGGUACCAUAACCUCUUUUAGGUACCACAAGGUGUCUUUUUACACAGCUCAUUUGAAUACAGAUGUUCGGAGAGGGGUUUUCUAUUUUAAAAAUAACCAUAUCAAAAUAAAUGUGCCUUAUUUUUUUAUAAGUCUUGUUAAAUAUUUUGGUGUCCAUAUGACUGAGAAAGGGGG